UGCUUCCGCUUUUGCCCCUGCUGCCUGACGCCCCUGACCUGUCAAUCUGCGAAGCCGGGCGGGCGUGUUUGCUGAAGAGAACGAGUGAGAGAGAGAGAGGUCUAUUCUGUGCUUGCAUGCCGAGGGCUUCAGCCCCUAUCUCUCUCUCCCCUUGCCGAGAGAACCGUCGAUUACUGGCCUUGCUUAGAAAGCGGAGGAUCCAACCCAGGAUAUGACUCCGAUGAUUCGGUUGAGGACCUGAGUUACAACACCCUUGAAGAAACCCAUGCCCUGUCCUCAAAGCUCUCUAUCAACAGUAAUUCCAAGGGCAGUAGAUGAUUGUGCCUAAGCUUAAUCGGAAUGAUGUUGAAAGCUAUGAACAUGUCCAGAAGAUGAUUCAAGACAAGGAAAUCUCCGAUUACACAACCACUUCCCAAACCAGUGAGUGCAUAUUUCUCUGGUGGCAUGGUUGGUCCAGAUUGAACAAAAAGAUUUUUAGGUAAAUCGUGCAAGCGGAGGGAGGACAAUCAAUUGGAAGUGCCUCUUUAAUAUGAUAAAUAUCCUUCCGUCGCUGUUUGAGGUUGUGACAUGCACACUUGAGAAGAAGUCGUCAAUCUCUGAGGUCUGAAGAACUUAGAUUGCUCCAAUUGAAUGGCUCGGUAAAAAAUGUCCUCUGCCACUUCCAGAUAUUUUAUUGCCGAGGGAUUAUUGGAGUAUGUGGGUUCAUUUGAAAAACACACUGUUGCCUUCAUGCCACUUCUUGCCUUCAAUUUUUUCUUUUUUCUUUUUCAUAUAUAUUGGUUCUUUUAUAAGGUCAAGUAUAAAUUAGAUUCUUUUUUACUGCAAUUAUGUUGCUUGAAGACUUAAACAUGUUGCAUCCUCAUAUUUACGUAACUUAUGCAGGCAAACUAAUGUGUUCAUUAGGAGUAUAAGCUUGGAAAGACUGGAAAAGUAAUCCAUUCGUGAAUCAUGCCGAUAACUUACGCAACAUUCUUUUGAGGUCCAAUAGUAGUGGAUUCAUGCAUAAAAUGGAUUUGGCAUAUGCAGCUGCAGACAUAAUCAUUUCGUGAGCUGGUGCAAUGACUUGCUAUGAGAUUUUGGCAACUGGGAAGCCUUCCAUUUUGGUACCGUCACCCGAUGUUGCUGAAGGACAUCAAUUUAAAACUGCUUCUUUGUUGGCAGACUUGGCGAGUGCAAGGGUUAUAACUGAAGAUGAACUUGAUUCGACAACCCUUGGAAAUGCAAUUGAAGAGAUGUUAGGGGAUAAGAAUAAAAUGGCAGAUAUGUCCUGGAGGGCUCAGAGCUUAUCGAGAGGAAAGAAGUAGACUUAAUUUAUACUCUAUUGCGUUUCAAGGAAUUCAUACGAGAGAUUCUUUUUAUUACAACGCCUGGCAGUGGAAGCGUCGCAAGAUUGACAAAGAGCAUGCUUUGGCUGCACAGGCUGUUCGUUGGCACAAGACCAGCAAGACCAAGGCUAUAAAAAAAUGGAACUUAUCCGGACUGUAAGAAGAUCAUGGUGCUGUAUAAAAGUUUAAACAAGGGGUCCAAAGCAGAUAAGGCUAGAGCCAAUUUUUUUUCUUUUUUAAGAUUUAGAAGUUAUAAACAGAAAGAUUUUUAUUAUAUAGUUAUACACUUGUAUGAUAUCCCGUGUUUGUAAUUGCUAUUUGAUUUAGACGUAGCCAUAUAACUGCUAAAAUUCAAGCAGAAAACACGCCCGCAGCAACGCGCGGGAUUCAUAACUAGUGUAUUAACAAAGAACAGCUACAAGAAUUAAGUUCCAAGACAAUGACUAUUCGAUUAGCAGUCAUCGCAAAUUUUAUUUGUAUGGAAUCUUUAAGCUGGAUUAGGAGUGAAACAAAUUGUAAUUUAUUAAUGGAAACUCUGUGCAGAGCUUCAUGACUUUGUAGUUGACGAUUCA